rnacentral:rRNA from 1 species
AGUGAACGCUGGCGGUAGGCCUAACACAUGCAAGUCGAACGGCAGCACAGUAAGAGCUUGCUCUUACGGGUGGCGAGUGGCGGACGGGUGAGGAAUACAUCGGAAUCUACUUUUUCGUGGGGGAUACCGUAGGGAAACUUACGCUAAUACCGCAUACGACCUACGGGUGAAAGCAGGGGAUCUUCGGACCUUGCGCGAUUGAAUGAGCCGAUGUCGGAUUAGCUAGUUGGCGGGGUAAAGGCCCACCAAGGCGACGAUCCGUAGCUGGUCUGAGAGGAUGAUCAGCCACACUGGAACUGAGACACGGUCCAGACUCCUACGGGAGGCAGCAGUGGGGAAUAUUGGACAAUGGGCGCAAGCCUGAUCCAGCCAUACCGCGUGGGUGAAGAAGGCCUUCGGGUUGUAAAGCCCUUUUGUUGGGAAGGAAAAGCAGCAGGUUAAUACCCCGCUGUUCUGACGGUACCCAAAGAAUAAGCACCGGCUAACUUCGUG